rnacentral:rRNA from 1 species
GCAUAAUCACUUGUCUAUUAAUUGUAGACUGGAAUGAACGGGUCAAUGAAAUUUAAGCUGUCUCUAAUUAAUUAAAUAAAAAUUAGUCAUUAAGUGAAGAAACUUAAAUAAAAUUGAAAGACAAGAAGACCCUAUAGAGCUUUACUUUAACUUAAAAUCAUAAUUUUAAUUAUAGUUCGGUUGGGGCGACCAGGGAAAUAUCAUCUCUAAACACAUAGAAAAAUAUUUCAUUUAAAAUGACCCUUUUAAGAGCAUAAAAUUAAGCUACCUUAGGGAUAACAGGCUAAUUUUCCUUCAGAGACCUUAUUAACAGGAAAGA